UCGAACGGCAGCGCGGGGCAACCUGGCGGCGAGUGGCGAACGGGUGAGUAAUAUAUCGGAACGUACCCUGGAGUGGGGGAUAACGUAGCGAAAGUUACGCUAAUACCGCAUACGAUCUAAGGAUGAAAGCAGGGGACCGCAAGGCCUUGUGCUCCUGGAGCGGCCGAUAUCUGAUUAGCUAGUUGGUGGGGUAAAGGCCCACCAAGGCAUCGAUCAGUAGCUGGUCUGAGAGGACGACCAGCCACACUGGAACUGAGACACGGUCCAGACUCCUACGGGAGGCAGCAGUGGGGAAUUUUGGACAAUGGGCGCAAGCCUGAUCCAGCAAUGCCGCGUGAGUGAAGAAGGCCUUCGGGUUGUAAAGCUCUUUUGUCAGGGAAGAAACGGUGCGGGCUAAUAUCCUUUGCUAAUGACGGUACCUGAAGAAUAAGCACCGGCUAACUACGUGCCAGCAGCCGCG
rnacentral:rRNA from 1 species